CCUACGGGUGGCAGCAGUAGGGAAUAUUGCUCAAUGGGGGCAACCCUGAAGCAGCAACGCCGCGUGAAGGAUGAAGGUUUUCGGAUUGGAAACCCCUUUUGUUAGAGAAGAUAAAGACGGUAUCUAACGCAUAAGCACCGGCUAAGUCCGUUCCAGCAGCCCCGGUAAGACGGAGGGUGCAAGCGUUACUCGGAUUCACUGGGCGUAAAUAGCGCGUAGGCGGGAUAGCAAGUCAGAUGUGAAAUCCUAUGGCUUAACCAUAGAACUGCAUUUGAAACUGUUAUUCUAGAGUAUGGGAGAGGUAUGUGGAAUUCGUGGUGUAGUGGUAAAAUGCGUAGAGAUCAAGAAGAAUACUGAUUGCGAAGGCGACCUGCUAGAACAUAACUGACGCUGAUGCGCGAAAGCGUGGGGAGCAAACAGGAUUAGAUACCCUAGUAGUC
rnacentral:rRNA from 1 species